rnacentral:RNase_P_RNA from 1 species
GCGGAUGGUCGGAGAACUGCUGUGCGGCUUGCCGCAUAGAGGAAAGUCCGGACACCUCAAGGGAAUGAUAGCGGGUAACGCCCGUCCGGGGAAACCCGAGGAUUAGAGCCACAGAGACGAGCCUGUUCAGUCAGGAGUGAAACGCGGCAAUCUCUAUCAGGUGCAAAACCAAACAGGACGGUAUUGAGUGCCCUUGUGAGCCGUCGGGUAGGUUGCGAGGAAACGCGCGGCAACACGCGUUCAAGAUGAAUAGUUCUUUAAUACAGAAUCCGGCUUAUAGACCAUCCCAUAGA